rnacentral:misc_RNA from 1 species
ACCGAAGUGGGGAAAGGUUCCAUG